CAUGACCUUUAUAUCCAGGGCUACACACACGCUACAAUGGUCUGUACAAUGGGUAGCCAAGCCGCGAGGCGGAGCCAAUCCUGAAAGCAGGCCUCAGUUCAGAUUGCAGUCUGCAACUCGACUGCAUGAAGCCGGAGUUGCUAGUAACCGCAGGUCAGCAAUACUGCGGUGAAUACGUUCCCGGGUCUU
rnacentral:rRNA from 1 species